rnacentral:lncRNA from 1 species
CUCGCUCAGAGUGUCACUAUCCUAAGCCUUAGAGGCCUGGAGGCAGACAGACAGGAGUUCCGGUCCUUCAUUGUGGUUUCCAGCCAAGCUUCAAAGACACUUUCUGCUACUCUCGGGUUCCAGAAUGAGGAAAACCUGGUUGCCACAUGUUCAGUUUGCCUAUAAUACAUAGGCCCUAAAUGCCAAGUUUACUGUGUGUCUGGCAGUUGAUAGUGACAAAAGACCAACACAUGAUUCUUGGGCUGUCUAAUUAUCAGACUGCUGGAGGAAGAAAGAACUUCUGUUCUGAAGGCAGAAAAACCACUUUGAUGAGAGGUUGGAGGUAAUAGCUACAUCAGAGAGAGUGAAACACACCACCAGAAAAGGGUCACAACAGUCAAAGCCUAACAUCAAACCCCGGAAGUUAUUGGCCCUGACCUCCUGACCUGAUCGUAGGCUGGUCUUUACCCAGGCCUUUUCUGAGGUAAUACCAAAUCAAGUCUGGGAGUCAGGACCCAGCUACUACUCACUCCCCACACAGGAUUUCUGUUCUGAAGCCUGUGCCCAGCACAGUUGUGAGGGGACCCAUCGCAUCCCCAGGAAUCCUGGUACCAGUCUCCCUUCCCCUGCUUCUCCAGCUGAGUUCAAUAUGCAAUGAAAACAACUUGUAAAGAUGGUGCUGCACUACAGAAAGGUCAUGGAGGUGGUCAGGUAUCUGUCUGCAAGGUAUUAAGCACUCUAAUCCUUUUAAACUAGCAUCAGUCUAAACCACAAUCAUAGAAGGACACC